AACGCACAUUGCGCCCGCCAGCAUUCUGGCGGGCAUGCCUGUCCGAGCGUCAUUUCAACCCAUCAAGCCCCUUCGGGCUUGCGUUGGGGUCCUGCGGCCGCCGCAGGCCCUGAAAUCCAGUGGCGGUCUCGCUAGACGGCACCGAGCGCAGUAGCAUUCCUCUCGCUCUGGUGGCGCGGCGGGCUUCCGGCCGUGAAAAUACAGCGGGCCUCCCCGCUGUAACACACCAAGGUUGACCUCGGAUCAGGUAGGAAUACCCGCUGAACUUAA
rnacentral:misc_RNA from 1 species